CUUUUUCCAUCUCAUUUCAUUUCAUCAUAUCUCCUUUCCAGUGGCUUUGUCAGACUUUGUCCCGCGAUUGCAGGAUUUCAUUCCCUUUCCUGAAAGGAAAUCCUUCCUUUCAGGAAAGGGAAUGAAAUCCUGCGAUUUCAAUGAGCAUCGUUUGGGCAAGCUUUGGGCCAUAUCCCUGCACUUCUUGUCAUCCCAUCCACUUUUAAGGUUUUCACUGCCUUUCGGAAUUUUCCCGUGAUUUUUCAGCCCUUCCAUUUUACAUGCUACCUCCCUACGGGCUCUUUUUUUUCCUUUCUUCCGUGAUUUCAGGAUGUUUUUAGGGGUAAUUCUAGCAAGUUUUGGUCCAUUUCCCUCCACUUCUUCUCAUCUGAGGCCAUUUCAGCGUGGUCACCCCAUUUCCCCAUUUCCGGGAUUUUUUCCAUCCCAUUUCAUUUCAUCAUAUCUCCUUUCCAGUGGCUUUGUCAGACUUUGUCCCGCGAUUGCAGGAUUUCAUUCCCUUUCCUGAAAGGAAAUCCUUCCUUUCAGGAAAGGGAAUGAAAUCCUGCGAUUUCAAUGAGCAUCGUUUGGGCAAGCUUGGGUCCAUAUCCCUG
rnacentral:lncRNA from 12 species